GAGAGAAUGGCUUAAUCUUCCUAAGACUUCACUGGCAAAUAAGGGAACUGCUGUCCUGUGAGUCACUGCUGUUUAGAAUUAAAUCGUCAGCUGUUGAGACAGCAGGCAAAUAAGCAUCUGGGCUGGAUGGGCAGUGUUUAGCUCCACAGCCCACAGAUGAUUCCAGGGGCAUUGCAGACUCAGAUCCACCCAGCCUCAGGCCCUGGUUACUUAACCUGGGACAGAACCAGAGAAGUGCUAUUUUCCUGAGAGACUGUUAACUUCCUCGAACCAAACCGAGAAGCCUUGUCUUUCACUUUCAGCCAUAGGAGCAGUUGCAUCUGACCCAAGCAACCUGGAGGCCAGGGAGAGGCAAGCUCCAGUACCUGUCUGACCCUCUGAAUGCUCAAGAUCAGGAUCUAUUCUACCCCUACGAACAGAUGCAAUAGAUGGAUCACUCUCCUGCCUCAAAAUUUCAAUGACUUCCAUCACAUCAGAUCAAGUCCAUGACACAAUCCUGGACUCCCAAGAUACAGUAUGGUCCAAUGGCUAAGUGCUCUGUGGCUUCACCACCCAGCUGAAAUCCUAACCCUGUUGCCUUACUAGUGGUGUGACUUUAGUCAAGUGUCUCUACUCUGUUUCUUAGUAUUCUCAUCUGUGAGGGUAAUAGUACCUACCUCAUAGAUGCCUAGCAUAUAGAAAGAACUUAACAGAUGUCACCUAUUCAUAUUACUUUUGCCUUUGUUAUUGCCACUCUUGCCACCCCCAGCUCAUUAUACUUCAAUCAUACCAUCAUUGCUACUGUUCCUCAAGCUCCCCAAGCCCUUCCCUAUAUUUGGACUUUUACCCUAGAGUGCCUACGCCUUCUGACCCAACUCACCCCUCUAUUGUUGGUUUCUUGUCAUUUUUAGGCUUCAUCUCAGGGCACCUCCUCAGAAAGGCCUUCUCUGGCCACUCAGUCUAAAUCAGCCCCAAGACUCUCUCUAGCCCAUUGCCAUUCUGUUGAAAUUCCUGUGUGAUGGAAAUGACCUGCACCCAUGACACUAGCCACGUGUGGCUAUUCAGCACCAAAAAUGUGGCUGAGUGGACUGAGAAACUGCAUGUUUCAUUUCAUUUCAUCUUAAUAACUUAAACUUAAAUUUAAAUAACUUCCUUUGGCUACCAUAUUGAACAAUGCAGCUGUAGCCAUUACCCAGAUUUUUGGUCAUCAUAGUGCUCACCACUCCCUUGUAGAUUCAUUCAGCUUGCAGAUUCAUUUGUUUGUAGUGCGUGGUCUGUCUCCCCCAGCUAAAGGUAAGCUCCGUGGAAGUGAGGGUCUGCCUGCCUUGCUCACUUCUGUGGUCCUCCAUGGAUAUGAUGGUGUCUGGGUUCUUGUGGGGGCUCAUUAGGAUUUGUUGAAUGAAUAAAUAAAUGAUUUGGCCUAUAAAAGCACUUUGUAAACCAAAACACAUAAUAUGCAUGUGAUAUGCAUUAUCAUUUUAUGUUACAUAUAAUUUAAAAGCCUGCAGAAGUGUUUCACUGUUUAAAAACCCUAACAUACACACACAGCUGAUUAUUAAAAACCAGUAAUUUUA